rnacentral:rRNA from 1 species
GAUGAACGCUGGCGGCGUGCCUAAUACAUGCAAGUCGAGCGAACAGACGAGGAGCUUGCUCCUCGGACGUUAGCGGCGGACGGGUGAGUAACACGUGGAUAACCUACCUAUAAGACUGGGAUAACUUCGGGAAACCGGAGCUAAUACGGGAUAAGAUAUUGAACCGCAUGGUGCAAUAGUGAAAGACGGUGUUGCUGUCACUGAUAGAUGGAUCCGCGCCGCAUUAGCUAGUUGGUAAGGUAACAGCUUACCAAGGCAACGAUGCGUAGCCGACCUGAGAGGGUGAUCGGCCACACUGGAACUGAGACACGGUCCAGACUCCUACGGGAGGCAGCAGUAGGGAAUCUUCCGCAAUGGGCGCAAGCCUGACGCAGCAACGCCGCGUGAGUGAUGAAGGUCUUCGGAUCGUAAACCUCUGUUAUUAGGGAAGAACCAAUGUGUAAGUAACUCUGCACGUCUUGACGGUACCUAAUCAGAAAGCCCCGGCUAACUACGUG